UUUUUAGUGUAAGUGUAUCCCAUGCCCUAUUUGAGACAUACUUAUACUAAAA
rnacentral:pre_miRNA from 1 species